rnacentral:rRNA from 1 species
CCUACGGGGGGCAGCAGUGGGGGAUAUUGCACAAUGGGGGGAACCCUGAUGCAGCGACGCCGCGUGGGUGAAGAAGCGCCUCGGCGCGUAAAGCCCUGUCAGCAGGGAAGAACAAUGACGGUACCUGACUAAGAAGCUCCGGCUAACUACGUGCCAGCAGCCGCGGUAAUACGUAGGGAGCAAGCGUUAUCCGGAUUUACUGGGUGUAAAGGGCGUGUAGGCGGGCCUGCAAGUCAGAAGUGAAAUCUGGGGGCUUAACCCCCAAACUGCUUUUGAAACUGUGGGGCUUGAGUGAUGGAGAGGCG